rnacentral:rRNA from 1 species
AGAGAGAGACAUGCGCGCAUAUCAAUAAGCGGAGGAAAAGAAACUAACAAGGAUUCCCUUAGUAACGGCGAGUGAAGCGGGAAGAGCUCAAAUUUGAAAUCUUCAAGGUUUUACCUUGACGAAUUGUAGUUUAAAGAAGUGUUUUCUGCUGAAGUUUUGGUAAAAGUUCUUUGGAAUAGGACAUCAUAGAGGGUGAGAAUCCCGUAUUUGACCAUUAUUUUCAGCUUUGUGAUACACUUUCAAAGAGUCGGAUUGUUUGGGAAUGCAGUCCAAAAUGGGUGGUAAAUUUCAUCUAAAGCUAAAUAUUGGCGAGAGACCGAUAGCGAACAAGUACCGUGAGGGAAAGAUGAAAAGAACUUUGAAAAGAGAGUUAAACAGUACGUGAAAUUGUCAAAAGGGAAGCGUUUGACACCAGUGUUGUUUUCUCGAAAAUCAAUUAAAAAUGGCUCGAUUUUGUAUUGCUUGAGACCUUAAAAGCUCACUGUACAUUUUUCGUGUCUUUUUUCAAUGCACUUUUCGUUUAACAAGUCUAACAUCAGUUUCUUUUGUUGUAAAAGGGUCAUUGGAAGGUGGCUUUCUUUUCGGAGAAAGUGUUUAUAGCCUUUGGCCUCUGCAAUCGAAGAGACUGAGGUCUGCAGCGUAGACUCUUCGGGGUUAGAUACAUUUGUGCUAAGUUAUAGCUUUUUAUAGACAACUUGUUGACUAUAAUUAGUCUUGUAGCUUACUCGCUUAUGCUAUUUUACCUACGCUUAGGAUGUUGAAGAUGUAGCACAUCAU